GACCGGUCCAGCUGCAGACUCGAGGUGUUUGCAUCACCUGACCACUUCCUGUCCAUCCAUCGAUGCUGUUUGGAAGUCGUUUCUUUGGGAUUUGAAAGCAUAAAGAGGAUCUUUCCAUUCAAAAUUCCUGGACUCCUCCUCUUCACACUCUGAUUCUGCGGUUUUGACAGAAAAAGUCUGCAUUUAGCAUGUAUGUGAGCUUCAUGAAAGUGUUGUAUAAAGGAGGAAGAGAAGGCGUGAUGCUGCUGCUUUUACGACGUUUUCGUGCAGGAAGUGACAGGACAUCAGGACAAAUGCUUCGUGUUGACGGAUGACGCUUCAACGGUCUAUAGGAUGAGAGGACACGGAGACAGUCGUGUCAAAGUGAUGAGGCGUCUCCUCUGAGAACAGAAAAGAUCAAACACCCAACAGAUCUGGAGAUCUGAGCAGUUCCAGGAUUUUUUUUUUGUAUUCACAAAUUGAAUUUCUAAAUAAAAUUUUAUACUUUUU